rnacentral:snRNA from 12 species
AUACUUACCUGGCAGGGCAGGGGAGAUACCAUGAUCAUGAAUGUGGUUUUCCUAGAGCAAGGCACUCUAGAUAUGUGAUUUCCCCAGAUGUGGGAAACUCCACUGCAUAAUCUAUGGUAAUUGGGGAAGGGAGCGGUACUGGCUUUCCAG